rnacentral:rRNA from 1 species
UACGAAGGGGGCUAGCGUUGCUCGGAAUCACUGGGCGUAAAGCGCACGUAGGCGGACUCUUAAGUCAGGGGUGAAAUCCUGGAGCUCAACUCCAGAACUGCCUUUGAUACUGGGAGUCUUGAGUUCGGGAGAGGUGAGUGGAACUGCGAGUGUAGAGGUGAAAUUCGUAGGUAUUCGCAAGAACACCAGUGGCGAAGGCGGCUCACUGGUCCGGUACUGACGCUGAUGUGCGAAAGCGUGGGGAGCAAACAGG